rnacentral:rRNA from 1 species
GGGUCUAAUACCGGAUAUGACCAUGGGAUGCAUGUUCUGUGGUGGAAAGCUUUUGCGGUGUGGGAUGGGCCCGCGGCCUAUCAGCUUGUUGGUGGGGUAAUGGCCUACCAAGGCGACGACGGGUAGCCGACCUGAGAGGGUGAUCGGCCACACUGGGACUGAGACACGGCCCAGACUCCUACGGGAGGCAGCAGUGGGGAAUAUUGCACAAUGGGCGCAAGCCUGAUGCAGCGACGCCGCGUGAGGGAUGACGGCCUUCGGGUUGUAAACCUCUUUCACCAGGGACGAAGCGCAAGUGACGGUACCUGGAGAAGAAGCACCGGCCAACUACGUGCCAGCAGCCGCGGUAAUACGUAGGGUGCGAGCGUUGUCCGGAAUUACUGGGCGUAAAGAGCUCGUAGGCGGUUUGUCGCGUCGUCUGUGAAAUUCUGCAACUCAAUUGUAGGCGUGCAGGCGAUACGGG